rnacentral:rRNA from 1 species
AUAACGGUCCUAAGGUAGCGAAAUUCCUUGUCGGGUAAGUUCCGACCUGCACGAAAGGCGCAACGACUUGGGCGCUGUCUCGACCAUGGACCCGGUGAAAUUGCACUGGUCGUGAAGAUGCGACUUACCCGCGGAAGGACGGAAAGACCCCGUGAACCUUCACUGCAGCUUGGCAUUGGCCGCUGGUCCCGCGUGUAGAGGAUAGGCAGGAGGCUAAGAUCCGGAGGCGCCAGCCCCCGGGGAGCCGCCCUUGGAAUACUGCCCUCGCGCGACCGGCGUCCUAACCCGAGGCCGUCAACCGGCUCGGGGACCGUGCCAGGCGGGCAGUUUGACUGGGGCGGUCGCCUCCUAAAGGGUAACGGAGGCGCGCGAAGGUCCGCUCGGGACGGUCGGCAACCGUCCUUUUGAAUGCAAGAGUACAAGCGGGCUUGACUGCGAGGCCCACAAGCCGAGCAGGUGCGAAAGCAGGCUCUAGUGAUCCGGCGGCCCCGAGUGGGUGGGCCGUCGCUCAACGGAUAAAAGGUACUCCGGGGAUAACAGGCUGAUCUUGCCCAAGAGUCCACAUCGACGGCAAGGUUUGGCACCUCGAUGUCGGCUCAUCGCAUCCUGGGGCUGGAGCAGGUCCCAAGGGUACGGCUGUUCGCCGUUUAAAGCGGUACGCGAGCUGGGUUCAGAACGUCGUGAGACAGUUCGGUCCCUAUCCUCCGUGGGCGCAGGAGAAUCGAUGGAGGCUGCCCCCAGUACGAGAGGACCGGGGUGGACGCACCUCCGGUGAACCGGUUGUCGACCAACGGCACGGCCGGGUAGCCGCGUGCGGCGCGGAUAACCGCUGAAGGCAUCUAAGCGGGAAGCCGUUCCAGGGAUUAGUUCUCCUUCCGGUAAGGGCCCAGGUAGACUACCUGGUCGAUAGACGGCAGGUGCAAGGCUGGCGACAGCCUCAGCCGAGCCGCACUAAUCGCCCGAGCUCUUCCGGAA